AAACUUAUAAAAGUAAAAUUUGUAACUAAAUUUUCUCCAAACUUUGUUGAAUCUAAACACGAUCGUUGGCAGCUAAUCCCCCAAAUUUUUUCUUAGCACCAAAUCUGCUGAACCAAACGAGCGUCUAUCCUUCCCAGUUUCAAAGAACAGUCAUUCCAAUCGAUUCAUUCUGUCUCUUCACAUCACUCUAAUAUUUUCCCCAAAUCAUUCCAUCGUUGAUUUUGUUUUGAGAAGAAGGAUUACAGACAUGGCACGUCCUUAUCAAUGGUUCGGAGGAUUGUUGAUCACAAACCUAUUGAAAUGAUUAUAGAAUAAUCUGCCUAUUGAUCUAUUCCAAAGUCGAUGUGUACGAAUUGAGGAGCUUUGUCUGUCUAUCUUCAACUAAAUCUUGAACAUUACACUGGCUAUGCUGGUCCAUCUGCAAUAAGGAUAUGGAAUGUUGUCUACUGUAAGAACUGCCCCAUAUGUGAGUUGUUCAUCUUUGUUAGUCUAUGCCAAAUAAGAGUUAACAUUAAUUUUGUUGGCUGUAAUGGAGAAUUUUAUUGUCCUUUCUUCAACCUAUUACUAUUGUUGUUAAUAGUCAAUAUAUAUAUACUCGUGUGUUGGAGUACUAUAUUGGCAUCUCCCAUAGCCUUAUAAAAGUACGAUUUGGGCUCUAAUUAUUUAACUUUUCCUUUCUCAUUAUAUUGGCAUCAUCAUGAUCUAUUUUCCACAUCUAAUGAUGGUAGAUAGCAUUGUUAAAUAUUUAGGUUAACGCAUAAGUUGGUGUGUGGUUAGUAUUGUCCACAUUGAAUUUAUGAGUAGAUUCCAAAAUUCCUCGUUAUUGUUCUUUCCAACCAUUGGGUGCUCCACAAGCUUUACUAUCAGUAGAAUGAAAAGGUAAAAAAAUAAUGUCAGCAUUGAUUUUCAUCAAUCAAAAAAUUGGCAACACAGUUAGACAAAUAAGUAUUUCGGCUCUGUUUCAAGUGAAUGAUUUUGAGGAGGAAGUAAUGAAAAUACCCAUGAUUUGUGUUGUCAAAAUAAACAUUGCUUAGUUAGGCUUCACUCAUGUUCUUGGCAUGCAACUUCUAUCAGUCUAUGCAAAAUCCACAAUAGUUUUGGGAGAAAAAGUCAAGAUAGAUGAAUUGUGCAGAGGUUUUGGAGCCCCUAUGACAGGAGGCCGGCAAGCAUGUUGCUCGUCUGAUAUAAAAGAGAGUUCUUUAUGGGAGGUUGCAACUGGGAUUUGUAUAACUGAUUUCUUGAUCUGGUGGAUUGAGUCUCUUGAUUGGCUAAAGAGGGAUGGCUUUACCUUUGAGAAAUUCUUUAAAGGGAGAGAGGCUUACAGCAAGAAGUUCUAAUACCCAGAGUACCUGUUGCAUGCAGUUGAAUGGAGAUGCUCCAGUUGUUUUGUGUGGCUGUGGUGAUUAAUGAAUUACAGUUUUGUUGGCAUUGAUGCAGAGGACAUGUGAGCAGAGUAAUCAGGAGAGACGGUUCCAAGCUGUGGAGUAUAAACAGAAAACUGUUUAAAUAACAACUUAUAGUAAUACUAACGCUGACGAAAUUUCUAUAAGAGAAAAAAGAUGAGGUACUGUCAAAAUAUUUAUUUUCUCCCUAUAACUACGGACUCAUUUGAGAACUUCCAUGAAAAAUUUGUCUACCGACUGUCAACCGACUGAUGGUUAGUACUCCGCUCAUUAUGCAACUUAUUAAAAAAAAUUUAAAAAUACACACAUAGAAAUAUAUAGUGAAUCUAGAGCUUCAAUUUUCUUUUUAUAUUUUCGAAUGGAUAUCACUGGUAGGUUGCAGCAUUUCAGAAAAAUGGAACCUCAUGAUUUACGAGUGAUGCAGGAUUUAAAUUGCUCCAUUGUACCAGUUCGUGCGAAAGUGCCGAGGAUGAUAAAGUGGACGGUGCCAGAUGUGGGUAUGUUAAAGCUGAAUGUGAAUGGUGGGUCUUGUGGUAAUCUGGGGAUGUCGGGUGGUGGAGGUGUUAUUCACGAUUCACAUGGAAGAGUCUUGGUCGGAUUUGCUCAUUUUUAUGGCCAAGCGACAAAUACAAUUGUGGAGUGUCAUGCUUUACUGGAUGGUUUACGACUGUGUCUUUCACUUGGGUUGAGGGAUUUAUUGGUGGAGUCUGAUUCUACUGUAGUGAUUGGAUGGAUGGAUGGCUUUGGGUAUUUGUAAAUAUUGGUUUUUUUGGGAUUUCUGGGAGGAAGUAAAGAUGCUUAUCCGUUUGCUUAAGGUUCGGGUUCGACAUAAUUUUAGAGAAGCUAAUAUAGUUGCGGAUUUUUUAGCUAAAGAAGGGGAGGAUUGCGGAUUUUAUGGGAGAAGAUUAUGUGCAAGGAAAACUUUGAGGUUUAGUUCGCUUGGAUAAAUUGGGGAUUCCUUGUAUUCGUUAUUGAUGUAAUUUUUUUCAUGGUUGCUCCUCCACCUCAGUGAGGGUAUUUAUAAUAAGAGGCUUAAACCUCACCUUUUUUGAAAAAAAAAAAAAGAAAAAAUGGUGCCA